rnacentral:rRNA from 1 species
AACGUAGGAGGCGAGCGUUAUCCGGAGUUACUGGGCGUAAAGCGCGUGUAGGUGGUCUGUUACGUCUGCUGUGAAAUGUCCCGGCUCAACCGGGACUAGGCGGUAGAUACGGGCAGACUAGAGGGUGACAGAGGAGCGUAGAAUUCCGGGUGUAGUGGUGAAAUGCGUAGAGAUCCGGAGGAAUACCAGUGGCGCAAGCGGCGCUCUGGGUCGAGCCUGACACUGAGACGCGAAGGCAUGGGGAGCGAACGGG